ensembl:lncRNA
ACAGGAGCUAGUAAUGUCCUCCCAGAGAGCUGCAAAGCUGCAGAAGGACACCGAAGCCAUCAGCUCCCUAGGGUGGGUGCAGGACCACGUGGAGAGCACUGUAGGAUUAUUUCAUAAUAUGUCACAUUUGUAUCUCAGUUAAAGGGAAGAAGCAGUACAUCGUGGUGGGAUGCCACUGGCAAUGGGAAGCAUUAGCAUCAGCGCUGCGGCUGUGUGAACUGAGUUUAUCUACGUGAUCUUUGUAUGAAAAAGCAAAUCUCCACAGCUCCUCCAUCUCAGGAAGCCAUGUGCUGCUGACAUUUCUUUUUCCCAGAGCAGAGCUGUGCCCGGUUUUACUUUCUUUUCUUCCUCCCCCUCCCCGCCCCCCAAGAAAAGGUCGAGGAUAAAGAAGAAAAAGGCAAGUUUCUGCUACAACCAACCAAAGAUGGCAGCAGAGGAGCAGUCUAAUAAAAUGGUGUCUGACAUGGAAGUGCACAUGAAGUAAAGGUGUGGAAUUUCACUCAGAGGGUGGUGACACAACCUGAAACAGGUUGCCCAGAGAGGUUGUGGAUGCCCUGUACCUGGAGGCAUUCAAGGCGAGGCUGGAUGUGGCUCUGAGCAGCCUGGUCUAGUGGUUGGCGACCCUGUCCACGGCAGGGAGGUUGAGACUAGAUGAUCUUUGAGGUCCUUUUCAGCCCAGGCCAUUCUAUGAUUCUAUGAUUCAAUUCAUACCUCCAUGCAGAAAAUAUAGCACCCAUUGAGAUUCAUUGAUACUUGCUGAGUGCUUAUGGAGACCCAAUAGUAGAUGUGAGAACAGUGAGGCGGUGGGCGGUGUAUUUCAGCAGUGGCAACAGUGACAUGAAAGACAAGCCACAUUCUGAACAGCCAUGCACAGCUGUCACACCAUGAAAUUAAGCAUCUUGAUCAGCUCAUCCACACAAAUUGGCAGAUUGUGACCAGCGAACUGUGCACAGAGCUGAAUAUCAGCUUCAGAGCACUGGAAACAAUGAUGCAAUGUUGGAACAUCUCAGUUUGCACCAAGUGGGUCCCACAAAUGCUCACACAGGAGCAGAAAGUACACCACAGGCAAAUUUGUCUGGACCUACUGAACGAUGACACUGAAGGUGACAGUUUCCUGUAUCACGUCAUCACCAGUGACAAGAUGUCACUGUCACCACUACGAGCCAGAGUCAAAACAGCAGUACAUGGAUGGCAACAUGUGAAGUCCCCAUCAAAGAAAAAGUUCAAGAUGCAGCCCUCAGCAAAUAAAGUGAUGUGCACUGCCUUUUGGGAUAAGAAAGGGGUGAUCCUUCUGGAAUUCCUGGAACGAAGACAAACCAUCAGCUCUGACCACAGCACUGUGACGCUGACUAAGCUGAAGGCUCAAACUUCAGAGUCAGACCAGAAAAGAAGACAACCUUUCUCUUGCAACACGAUAACACCAGACCCAAUACCAGUUUGAAGACUGUGGAGCACACUGCCAAUCUGGGCUGGGCUGUCCUACCACAUCUACAAAAUAAUCUGAAUUUGGUGCCUUCUCACUUCCAUCUGUUCCAGCCAACUGCAUGGGCAAUGUUUUCCUAGCAACAACUCUAGCAGCUGUGUAACAGUGGGUCACCGGCACAGAUUCUACAAGCACAGCAUUCAGACUCUUGUUCAUUGCUGGCAAAAAAACAAACAAACAAAAAAGCAUAGUUAGAGGUGGUGGUUAUAAUGAAAAAUAGCAUUAUGUAGCUGAGAGUUUGCUCUAUCAAAUAGUGUUAUUGUGCUCAUUGUAUCUGUUGUAUUUUCUAUGGAAAUAAAUUGAAGAC